GACAGAGGCCCCGAGCAUUAGGCGGAAUCACUGGGCUUAAAGCGUGUGUAGGCGGGCCCGUAAGUGUCUUGUGAAAUCCCACGGCUCAACCGUGGAACUGCUGGGCAUACUGCGGGUCUUGGGCCAACUAGGGGCAGCCGGAACAAGCGGUGGAGCGGUGAAAUGCGUAGAUAUCGCUUGGAACGCCGAAGGUGAAAACAGGCUGCUGGGGUUGCGCCGACGCUGAGACACGAAAGCCAGGGGAGCAAACGGG
rnacentral:rRNA from 1 species